UACGUAGGGGGCAAGCGUUGUCCGGAAUUAUUGGGCGUAAAGCGCGUGUAGGCGGUCCGAUAAGUCGGCUGUGAAAGUCCAGGGCUCAACUCUGGAAUGCCGGCCGAUACUGUCGGACUAGAGUCCGGAAGAGGCAAGUGGAAUUCCCGGUGUAGCGGUGAAAUGCGCAGAUAUCGGGAAGAACACCCGUGGCGAAGGCGGCUCUCUGGGACGGUACUGACGCUGAGACGCGAAAGCGUGGGGAGCGAACAGG
rnacentral:rRNA from 1 species